CUUCAGUCUUGUCCGUUGGCAGUCAUCUCCCUGACAGUCGCGAUACGUGAUGGGGAGUCAAGGAGUAUUGCUGGAGUAUUAAUGGAGUAACAUGCUGGAGAAUAAAUGCUGAAUGGCUCCAUUCAUACACAUGAAAACAGUUUCCCAGCAAGAUCGGUGGAGGACACAUACCAGCGAUGCAUCAGCAGAAGGGUUCGAGGAAGCUGACUGUCAUUCAGCUCUCCAUCAUCAUCUACAGACAAGGGGAGAAAAUUAUACUCAGUUUCCUGAAAUGUCUGUUUUCAAUGACUCUGGAGAACCUGAAGCGAUCAAUAACACCAGCGAAUGGAUAUGGAUGACAAUGAUCAAUGACACGUGGUCACUCACCAAAUGCUUGAAUACAAGCCUCCAGCAGCAGCUCAAGUGAAGCAGCCUUUCCCAACGUAACCGACCCCAUGACCUCCUGUCCAACCUGACUCUACUGAGACAUCAAGUUCACUGCCAUCAGG